rnacentral:siRNA from 1 species
UGUAAGAAUACCUUGUGCCGUAGA